AUCACUUCUCAGCCUUUUGGCUAAGAUCAAAUGUGGUUUCUGUUAUUAUCAGUUUAAUAUCUGAUACGUCCUCUAUCUGAGAACAAUAUAUUAAAUGGAUUUUUGGAGCGGGGAGAUGGAAUAGGAGGUUGCUAUGUCCACUCCACACAUCGAUCUCGUAUUGCAGUACCUCCAGGAACGGUGUUCCCCUC
ensembl:snRNA U2 U2 spliceosomal RNA